AAGUACAAUGUAUAUGAAUUAUUGUGUAUGUUUAAUAAUUAUAAUUAUACUGUGUUUCUGAAGUUGGGAGCUUGUCUAUUAAUUGUGGUGUCCCUAUAAGCAGGCCACCCUCUAUAAUACAGCCAGGUUAAUGGGCCCCAAAGUCUCUCCAUAGCAUGUGUUUGGACCUGUGUUAGCAGGCCACCCUCUAUAAUACAGCCAGGUUAAUGGGCCCCAAAGUCUCCAUAGCAUGUGUUUGGACCUGUGUUAGCAGGCCACCCUCUACAAUACAGCCAGGUUAAUGGUCCCCAAAGUCUCUCCAUAGCAUGUGUUUGGACCUGUGUUAGCAGGCCACCCUCUAUAAUACAGCCAGGUUAAUGGGCCCCAAAGUCUCCAUAGCAUGUGUUUGGACCUGUGUUAGCAGGCCACCCUCUAUAAUACAGCCAGGUUAAUGGGCCCCAAAGUCUCCAUAGCAUGUGUUUGGACCUGUGUUAGCAGGCCACCCUCUAUAAUACAGCCAGGUUAAUGGGCCCCAAAAUCUCUCCAUAGCAUGUGUUUGGACCUGUGUUAGCAGGCCACCCUCUAUAAUACAGCCAGGUUAAUGGGCCCCAAGGUCUCCAUAGCAUGUGUUUGGACCUGUGUUAGCAGGCCACCCUCUAUAAUACAGCCAGAUUAAUGGGCCCCAAAGUCUCCAUAGCAUGUGUUUGGACCUGUGUUAGCAGGCCACCCUCUAUAAUACAGCCAGGUUAAUGGGCCCCAAAAUCUCUCCAUAGCAUGUGUUUGGACCUGUGUUAGCAGGCCACCCUCUAUAAUACAGCCAGGUUAAUGGGCCCCAAGGUCUCCAUAGCAUGUGUUUGGACCUGUGUUAGCAGGCCACCCUCUAUAAUACAGCCAGGUUAAUGGGCCCCAAAAUCUCUCCAUAGCAUGUGUUUGGACCUGUGUUAGCAGGCCACCCUCUAUAAUACAGCCAGGUUAAUGGGCCCCAAGGUCUCCAUAGCAUGUGUUUGGACCUGUGUUAGCAGGCCACCCUCUAUAAUACAGCCAGGUUAAUGGGCCCCAAAAUCUC